GCCGGCGCCAAGGGGUGAUGCUGCAUAUAAUGCGGCAUCUGAGAUGUCUUAUGACAAACCCUUUGAACCUGAUCCGGCUUAUACCGGCGUAGGAAUGGGCCAAAUUUUGAUC
rnacentral:ncRNA from 2 species